rnacentral:pre_miRNA from 1 species
CGUCAACACAGACUGGCGUGGCCUAGGCAUCUCUGGGCGAGUGCCUCGUUGAGUGCCUCGGUCUCAAGCACAGCUAUGAGG